rnacentral:lncRNA from 1 species
CAUUUAAAGUUUAAAUUUUAAACAUUAUUUUCGGUACGAGUUGCGAGCGCGUUGUUUAUUAAUUUGUAGAAGAAAUUUAAAGUUGUAUUUGUGAUUCAAAUUCAGUUUUUGUCAAGUUUUCAAAUUUUGCGGUAAUAAAAAGCAGACAAAUAGAAACUGUCAGCAGCAAUCAAUAGAGAGUACUCAUAAUAAAGAAAAAAAUGUUUUUAAAACUCAUAAUAAUAAGAAACCAUCUGGUGCU